GGACACCAUGGCGGCGGCGGCGCCGGCGGCUGGCACCCGCUCCGGAAUGCACCGCCGGGACGCACCCAGGGCCAGGUGAGCAGACGAAGGAACAAAGCCGGGUGAAGUACAAUACCUCCCGCGCGCCGGGCGCUCGGAGUACUGUCUGUAAACCGUACGACGUCACCACAUUUCCAGCCAAUGAGCGCGCCGGAACCUCGGAUGGGCGGAGUCCGUCUGGCGGCGCCCGCUGGGCUCCCUCUGUUUCGGCGCUGAAAAGGAGGUCCUCCCACCCCCGGGCGUGGGCGGGGCCCCAAGGCCACGCCCUUUUGGGAGGCGUGCCAGGGCAUCCCGGAACGUGACCGCGACCCCCACGGCUAAGGAGCCAGCGUGGCUAACGAAACAAGCACAUCACUGCCCUGGGAGCACCGCGAGAUGCAUCCUCUCUUAACUCCGGAACAAAAAGCAAAGACAGAUUCUCGUCAGCCUUUAAACAGGCAGUCUAGGCGGACGCAAUUCCAAUAAGACACGGCUUUAAUAGUGUAGUCACAGAUCCCAGUGGUCACGGGAGAGUCAGGAGACACUCAACUUUCAGCAUGGGAAGAGAUACUCAUUCCGGAACACAAUGUACAUAAACUAUACAGAAUCGUAGUUGCAUUAAGUGCACUGAACCAGUGCUGCUACGGACGUCAACUGUGGGGUUGACCACCAUUCUUCACCUACUAUUAAAGCCGCGGAUGAAAGAAAGCAGCGGCCUGUGUGUGGGCCCCAUAAAGGCAACAGGUACUAGAUUGCCUUGGUCACACACCCCUCACAGCCGGAACAACAGUGACACAGACAAGAGCAAAGCAGGAAUGGCAGGCAAACCUGAGCGUGCUUAAGGACCCAAAGGAAUGUGAACUGAUUGCCAGAAGUCCAGUGUAAACGUUAGGAGCUUUGAGGAGACCACCUACCUUUCAGAGUGAGAGAAGAGAACAGCUGUCCCCGUGGCUUUCAUAUGCACCAUAUGUUGCUGGGGAAGUGUGUGUUGCUGGGGAAGAGCUCCAAACUGAAAGCAACAUGGACAAUGCCUCCCUAUGCCCCCCCUUUCCUGGGGCUCACUGGGGUUGUAACUGGUCACACGCCACUCUGCCCUUGGAGCCUCCGUUCCCCAUGAACAAGUUAUAAAAUCAUGACAUACCUUUCAGUUUCAGGCCAAACCGUCCCUGUCACAUAGGGGAAUUGUCAAGUCAAAGUGUUUUUGUUUCUCUGGACCCCAGUUUGCCAAAUUCUAAAAAUGAAAGUGUAAACUUUUAAAAGGAUUUCUCCCCGGGGGGUGGGAUGGAGUGAGUGCAGUUGAGGUCAGAGUUGUCAGAACUCCCUGGAGGGGGUAUUAUGGGCAUCUGUGAGUUGCCUGGAAUGCCUGGAACAGAACUCGGGUCCUCUGCAAGAACAGUAUGUACUGCUGCUACCCAUGAGCCAUCUCUCCAGCCCCCGAGAAUGUAAACUUUAUUAGUGGUUCGCAAAACCUGGGGCCAACCAGAAUUACUUGAGAAGUGUUUUUAAAAACAUGUCAUUUCCCUACCUUGGCCCUGCUAAUUCACCAGUUUUCAUAAGCUUCAUAUUAAAAAUACCUAAAUAUACAGAAAAGCAUAAAGCCUAGAAAUGUCACUCACAGAAUAGUACUACCAGUGGGCAAAGUAACUUCAUAAAUAGUUGCCCGCAGAACCAUGGCAUCGUUCCUCCACGCUGUUUCUCAAUCUAUCCUCCUAUCAUUUAGAGCUCCUAUUGUUAUUGCUGUUUUGUUUUGAGAAGAGUUGCACUGUAUAGCUCUGGCUGACCUGGAACUCUGUAGGCAAGGCUGGACUUGAAUUCACAGAGACCUGCUGCCCAGAUCCGUUCUUGGUCCUUCUCUCUGCCCUGGGAGUCCAAGCCUUAGACUUAAGCAUAGUGCUGGCCAGAAACACCCCUUCUAGUUAAGUUCAGCCGUCAGAGGCCUAUCGGAGUGGGAGGAAUACAUGAACAAGGUCCAUUGGACCAGGCUGAGAAUCCGCAUUUCUAGAGGACGUGCUCCUCCCUGGCUAACUCGGGCUGUCGUCCUCAAACCUCAGGCUUUGGCAGUGUGCCUCUGGACCAAUGACUGGUUUUGUUACCUAAUCCUCAUCUUUCUCUGCCUGCUUGAACUAACUGAAUUUCUGCCCUGCCCUAAUCUUAUCUUUGAAGACAAAAUGCCCGAUGGCCAGAAGUCCCUCUUCAGGUGGUUAAUUAAACCGGUCUGACCUAAGAUGGAUACUAGAGUGACUGCCCAUGACUUCUGACUUCCUUAAGAUCCUGUGGCUGUGUGCUAAAUGACACCUCUCAGCACCGUGACAGGCCUGUAGAAACCCCACCAAGACCAGCAGCGGUACGCCGUGGGUCCCUGAGGACAGUGGGAAACCAGACACACGUAAGAGAGGCAUUCGCUACGGCAGGUGUGGGACGGCAGCCAGGUGUCACGGGGACAGCGUCAGAGGCCGGAAGUUCCUGCUUCGAUUUCUAGCACCAGCCAUUCUUCCUGGACAAGUGACUGACUCUGGCCUCGGUUUUUUUUUGGGUUUUUUUUGUUUUGUUUUUUUUUUAAGUGGGGAGGUAAAUAGUUUCCUUGCACAGCUCUUAAAGGAACUAAAUGAAAGCAGCACAUAGGCAUUGAAAUACAAAAUUCCUCAAACUUGGUCUUUUACACUUUGUACUUUUCUUCUU